rnacentral:lncRNA from 1 species
AAUAACGCUAAGCAGCAUUGAUAAAUGUCUGAAUGUAUCAUGCAAUUUGCACUUGCCAUGCAAUCCUAACCUCUUUUACUUACCCUAAAUUUCAUAAUUUUCAGGCUUCUACUGAGAAUAAGGAUGGCCAGAGCUCACCAAGCUGCCUCCAGGCACCUAAGCCAGCCAUGACAAUUUAGAGAAAGAGAAAAAUAGACUUGCUCUGUUUGAUUGGGCCCUGGGAAAGUCUGAAGCACAAAGAUAAAAGUGAAAUGGUUCUAUGGAGAUUUGAUGGUGAGAAACCAGACACCUUAGGAUCCAAUACUUCAGCUUCAUCAGUGGAUCCUCCAGAAUGACCUUCUUGGUCAUCCAAAAACCAAAGCCUUUACAACUCACGGUGGAACCAAUAGCAUCUAUAAGGCAAUCUACCAUGGUAUCCCUAUGGUGGGCGUUCCUUUGUUUGUGGAUCAACACGAUAACAUUGCUCACAUGGAG